rnacentral:rRNA from 1 species
UACAGAGGUCUCGAGCGUUAGGCGGAAUCACUGGGCUUAAAGCGUGUGUAGGCGGAUUGCUAAGUACCUUGUGAAAUCCCACGGCUUAACCGUGGAACUGCUUGGUAUACUGGCUGUCUUGAGCCACUUAGGGGCAACCGGAACAAACGGUGGAGCGGUGAAAUGCGUAGAGAUCGGAAAGAACACCAACGGCGAAAGCACUCUGCUGGGCCGACACUGACACUGAGAGACGAAAGCUAGGGGAGCGAAUGGG